CAGUUUGACAUCACGUAAUUCAUGCAAUAAAAUUUUGAAGAAAAUUAAAGGUUGAGACAUUGUAAGGCAAGCGAUAAGACUCCACUUCACUAUUGUUUUAUAUAUUUAGCUGUGUGUUUAGGGUUAUUAUAUUAUUUGAAAACAAGCGCUAGUAAUAAAUUUUAGGUACAUAAGGUACAUAUGUAUCUCAUUACAAGUAUUACUUUCCAAACAUGACGCCAUUAGAAUAGCGUAAAACAACAUGCGGUAUUAUAAUGGAAACGGAAUGAUUAAACGAAAUAAAAAGUUUCCUGGAUCAAGAUUUCCAUAUAUUAUCAUUUCAAAACACCCAUUAUACAAAUUCACCCUAAGGAAGGAACUAUUACCUACCGAAGAUCUAUUAUAAUAUCGAAGAUAUUAAUAUGUUUAUUAUACAAUUACCUAAUCUAUGUAUUGAAUAAUUAUUUGUUGUUACGUUACUAUAUGUAUGAUUUAAGUUAGACAAUUGUAAAUAAAAUAUUAUAUAAUAGCA